AUUGAACGCUGGCGGCAGGCAUAAAACAUGCAAGUCGAACGAGUGGCGGACGGGUGAGUAAUGUCUGGGAAACUGCCCGAUGGAGGGGGAUGACGACUGGAAACGGUAGCUAAUACCGCAUACCAUCGGAUGUGCCCAGAUGUGAUUAGCUUGUAGGUGAGGUAACGGCUCACCUAGGCGACGAUCCCUAGCUGGUCAGAGAGGAUGACCAGCCACACUGGAACUGAGACACGGUCCAGACUCCUACGGUAGGCAGCAGUGGGGAAUAUUGCACAAUGGGCGCAAGCCUGAUGCAGCCAUGCCGCGUGUAUGAAGAAGGCCGGCGGGUUGUAAAGUACUUUCAGCGGGGAGGCGUUACCCGCAGAAGAAGCACCGGCUAACUCCGGGCCAGCAGCCGCGGUAAUAC
rnacentral:rRNA from 1 species